rnacentral:lncRNA from 1 species
ACAUUGGGCCCAAAGCUGUUGACUUUUUGGGCUUUGGCUCAAUUUUGAUUUUUAUAUACAAAUUGUGUAUUGUCCGUAGAUCAGUGUAUAUAACUCAAUUUUUAACUCCCGAGAGCUGUAAUUCUGCUCCAUUUUCGCUGUCAUCCUGCCUUUCAACCUGUAUCACGUACACCAAAUGUAUACGGGAUGUAUAUUGGCCUGUAUAUCAGUGCAUAUUUAGUGUAUACAAACUGCAUACAGUCCAUUUUCGGACUUUCAGGGGCCUGUUUCAGCUUCU